rnacentral:rRNA from 1 species
CGAACGGGUGAGUAACGCGUGAGGAACCUGCCUCAAAGAGGGGGGAAACAGUUGGAAACGACUGCUAAUACCGCAUAAGCCCACGACCUGGCAUCGGGUUGAGGGAAAAGGAGCAAUCCGCUUUGAGAUGGCCUCGCGUCCGAUUAGCUAGUUGGUGAGGUAACGGCCCACCAAGGCAACGAUCGGUAGCCGGACUGAGAGGUUGAACGGCCACAUUGGGACUGAGACACGGCCCAG